CCUACGGGUGACAGCAGUGAGGAAUAUUGGUCAAUGGGCGCGAGCCUGAACCAGCCAAGUAGCGUGAGGGAUGACUGCCCUACGGGUUGUAAACUUCUUUUAUAAAGGAAUAAAGUGAGGCACGUGUGCCUUUUUGUAUGUAUUUUAUGAAUAAGGAUCGGCUAACUCCGUGCCAGCAGCCGCGGUAAUACGGAGGAUCCGAGCGUUAUCCGGAUUUAUUGGGUUUAAAGGGAGCGUAGAUGGGGUGUUAAGUCAGUUGUGAAAGUUUGCGGCUCAACCGUAAAAGUGCAAUUGAUACUGGCAGCCUUGAGUAGAGUUGAGGUAGGCGGAAUGCGUGGGGUAGCGGUGAAAUGCUUAGAUAUCACGAAGAACUCCGAUUGCGAAGGCAGCAUACCAAAGUGCCACUGACAUUGAUGCUCGAAAGUGUGGGUAUCAAACAGGAUUAGAUACCCCAGUAGUC
rnacentral:rRNA from 1 species